rnacentral:rRNA from 1 species
UACAGAGGUCUCAAGCGUUGUUCGGAUUCAUUUGGGCGUAAAGGGUGUGUAGGUGGCGCCGUAAGUCGGGUGUGAAAUUUCGGAGCUUAACUCCGAAACUGCAUUCGAUACUGCGGUGCUUGAGGACUGGAGAGGAGACUGGGAAUUCAUGGUGUAGCAGUGAAAUGCGCAGAUAUCAGGAGGAACACCGGUGGCGAAGGCGGGUCUCUGGGAAGUAACUGACGCUGAGAAGCGAAAGCGUGGGUAGCGAACAGG